rnacentral:rRNA from 1 species
UGAGGAAUAUUGGUCAAUGGACGCAAGUCUGAACCAGCCAAGUAGCGUGCAGGAUGACGGCCCUAUGGGUUGUAAACUGCUUUUAUAUGGGGAUAAAGUGGGGAACGUGUUCCCUUUUGCAGGUACCAUAUGAAUAAGGACCGGCUAAUUCCGUGCCAGCAGCCGCGGUAAUACGGAAGGUUCGGGCGUUAUCCGGAUUUAUUGGGUUUAAAGGGAGCGUAGGCCGCUUGGUAAGCGUGUUGUGAAAUGUAGGAGCUCAACUUCUAGAUUGCAGCGCGAACUGUCAGACUUGAGUGCGCACAACGUAGGCGGACUUCAUGGUGUAGCGGUGAAAUGCUUAGAUAUCAUGAAGAUCUCCGAUUGCGAAGGCAGCUUACGGGAGCGCAACUGACGCUGAAGCUCGAAGGUGCGGGUAUCGAACAGG